rnacentral:tRNA from 2 species
GCGCCUAUAGCUCAGGGGAUAGAGCACCAGUCUCCGGAACUGGGAGCGAGAGUUCGAAUCUCUCUAGGCGCUCCA